rnacentral:sRNA from 1 species
GUUGUGGUGAGCAUGGUGAUAUCAUCCCAGCUCCCUAGGAGGCUGAGGCAGGAAGAUCGCUUGAGUCUAGGAGUUUGGGGCUUAUGUGCUCUAGCCGAUCAGGUAUGCACACUACACUGGACAUCGAUAUGGUGGCCUCCUGGGAGCAUGGGAACCACCAUGCCAGAUGUGCUGAUCAGCAGUGGAACAGUGCCUUGAAUAGCCACAGCAAUCCAGCCUGGGCAAUAUUGUGAGACCUUUCCUCUU